rnacentral:tRNA from 3 species
GAGUGAGAAUUGAUGUUAUCAAAUCCAGUUUCGACCUGAAUUUAGGCCUUUCGGCCCCCACUCU